rnacentral:rRNA from 1 species
GAUCCUAGCUCAGGAUGAACGCUAUCUACAGGCUUAACACAUGCAAGUCGAGGGGAAACGACAUCGAAAGCUUGCUUUUGAUGGGCGUCGACCGGCGCACGGGUGAGUAACGCGUAUCCAACCUGCCUACCACUUGGGGAUAACCUUGCGAAAGUAAGACUAAUACCCAAUGAUAUCUCUAGAAGACAUCUGAAAGAGAUUAAAGAUUUAUCGGUGAUGGAUGGGGAUGCGUCUGAUUAG